UUCUUCCUCCCUUCUCGCUUUGCCAUUUCACUCAACAUCUCGCUAUCCCUAUUCUAAAACUUCAUCACAAAACUUCAUUACAGAUUCGGCAUCCAAUUUAUAUUCCAUGUCAUUGGAGCUGAAAUUGUUCAUUUCAACAUUCCUUGCAUACUUCCGAUCUUCGAUCUAGUCGAUCAUAUGGUUCAUCGGGUAUGGACGGACCCGACCCGUAUCUUGGCGGGACGCCCUCCAGGUCUGCAGCAAUGACGAUAACUUCCACGAAUUAAAAAGGAAACAUGAGGGGAGAAAAGAGGUAUAUUAUUUUAUGCUAUUAGAACAUUAGCAACCAUCUGUUCCAGGAGCAAAUAUCUAUGCUUAACAUACCAAUACAGAAAUUUCUUAGACCUAGACCAGGUCCAUCUAGAAAUUUAUGGAACUUUUGCAAAUAUGCAACUGGAAUGCCAUGUACUAUUCCCUUCCUAUCUUUCUCACCCAACUAUGGUAAUAUGUGGUGUUUGAACUCGACGCUUCAUGUUAGCAAUUGAAAACACGAUAAAAUAUUAUAAGAACGCAAGUUCACUUGAACUCUUCAAGUACCUUAUUCAUCACCCCACUUACUGCUUGAUUUCCCUCAAGAUGAAAAUUAAAUAAACCUUUGUUCUAUCUGUUUAUUCUGUACAAUAAACAGUUUAAUAUAUAUAUAUAUAUAUAUAUAUAUAUAUAUAUAUAUAUAUAUAUAUAUAUUGUAGUUCUAUCUUUUUAUUUUUAUAUUUUGUAGGUCUACAUAUUGUAGUUCUGCUUACCGUACCAAUUUUGUAAUUUCAAUUUAUGGAAUGUGGAUUAAUUUUCUCAAUAAAAUCUAAUGACCUGCUGCAUUUAUUUACUACGUAUUAAAUAUUGUAAUUAUUUACCUACAUGCCAUGAGAUAAUUUGAAUCACUGCAAAUCUAAAUUUUAAUAAAUGCAGGCUGCAUUGUACUGGUAACAGUGGUAAGAAAGUACAUAUUUUCCAGAUCUAAUCAUAAUAAUCUUCAAUGAAAAACAUUUAACAACUGGCUAUAAUCUUACCACACCUUAUUAUUUUUGUUAGGGUUUAUAUCUUUGUUCCUGCACACAAUCUUCAGAAGCAGCAAAGAAAGCAAAGGUUGCAGAAACAAAAAACUUACCUGAGUUGUCCAGCUCCUUAGAUCCCAGAAAUAUUCAUCUUCAACAGACUGUAUGGUCUGCAAAAAUAUACCAGAGCCUAUAAUCAUUCCCCUGUAACAGAAGAUGCAAUGGGUUCUCAACUUUUGUCAUAUCAUUAUUUUAUAUUAUACAUGAUGAUGGUAUCAACCUAUGAAAAAAGAGAGUUUCCUUUUACAUUCACCAUUGCACUCAAAUACUGUAGAAGGUGGUUUCUUGGCUCCAUUAUGCCCACCUCUUUCCAUGAUUCUUGUCUUUUGUAUUUUGCAGGCAAGUUGUUGGAGCCUCUCUACAUUCUACCGUCUUGUGCCUGGCCGCCAUGAAAAUUCAAGAAUGGUUCUUCUCUGCAACUUUGACUCAUUUUUUCUGAUGAUGAAGUCACAAUGGCGUCUAUAUUGCGAACUAUGAGCGCUUAUUUAUAGUGUCGUCUAUGAUUAUAGAUUAUAGAAGUUUAUGUACAUUUAAUGUUAGUCUUGAAGAUUGCACAAGUCAUUUCAGAUUUAAAUUCAUCUUGUAUUUAUACUUGUAUUGAUAUUGAUGUCUUGUAAUUAUUAUUUAAGUAUACGAAGAGGCAAGAUGAAUAUCCUCUUGAAUGUAGCAAAAAAUUAUGAUAUGCAUAUAACCUUUCAAAUUU